rnacentral:rRNA from 1 species
UACGGAGGGGGCAAGCGUUAUUCGGAAUUAUUGGGCGUAAAGGGCGCGUAGGCGGCUUGGCAAGUGGAAGGUGAAAUCCCUCGGCUUAACCGAGGAACUGCCCUCCAAACUGCUUCGCUUGAGGCCGGGAGAGGUGAGUGGAAUUCCCAGUGUAGCGGUGAAAUGCGUAGAUAUUGGGAGGAACACCAGUGGCGAAGGCGGCUCCCUGGAGCGGUACUGACGCUGAUGCGCGAAAGCGUGGGGAGCAAACGGG